GGGGGGGGGGGGGGGGGGGCCGGGGGGGGGGGGGGCGAGGGGGACCUGCGGGGCUGGGGGCGCGCGGGGGCGGGACGCGUGGGAACCGGCCCGUGUGGUCGGGAUCACGCCCCGGAAGGGGGUCUAAUCCCCGGUAAUGUCUUCGGCCCAACGCUUUAUCGCCCUUGGAUGGGCCCGCGUUGGAUUAGCUAGUUGGUAGGGUAAACGCCUACCAAGUCGACGAUCCAUAGCUGGUCGGUGCAGAUGCUCAGCCACACUGGGACUGAGACACGGCCCAGACUCCUACGGGAAGCAGCAGUGGGGAAUAUUGGACAAUGGGCGAAAGCCUGAUCAAGCAAUGCCGCGUGAGUGAUGAAGGCCUUAGGGUUGUAAAGCGCUUUUACCCGGGAUGAGAAUGACAGUACCGGGAGAAUAAGCUCCGGCUAACUCCGUG
rnacentral:rRNA from 1 species